AGUGAACGCUGGCGGUAGGCCUAACACAUGCAAGUCGAACGGCAGCACAGUAAGAGCUUGCUCUUACGGGUGGCGAGUGGCGGACGGGUGAGGAAUACAUCGGAAUCUACUUUUUCGUGGGGGAUAACGUAGGGAAACUUACGCUAAUACCGCAUACGACCUACGGUUGAAAGCAGGGGAUCUUCGGACCUUGCGCGAUUGAAUGAGCCGAUGUCGGAUUAGCUAGUUGGCGGGGUAAAGGCCCACCAAGGCGACGAUCCGUAGCGGGUCUGAGAGGAUGAUCAGCCACACUGGAACUGAGACACGGUCCAGACUCCUACGGGAGGCAGCAGUGGGGAAUAUUGGACAAUGGGCGCAAGCCUGAUCCAGCCAUACCGCGUGGGUGAAGAAGGCCUUCGGGUUGUAAAGCCCUUUUGUUGGGAAAGAAAAGCAGCAGGUUAAUACCCCGCUGUUCUGACGGUACCCAAAGAAUAAGCACCGGCUAACUUCGUG
rnacentral:rRNA from 1 species